UUGCCAAGAAAAUCUCAAAGUGGGUCCUGAAGAGUUGGAUGUGACUGAAAGGACUCAGCAGCAGCAGCAGGAAGAAGUGAGAGUCCAGAUGGAGGAGGUUACAAAGGAUGCUUGGACCUAGAGGGCUGAGUACCCAGCUAAUGGAGAUGAGUUGACAAGUUCUCAUCAUGUCUUGAGGGGCAAAAGAUGAUCAAUAAAUUCUUUUGAUGGAGUUUGCUGUUGAAACUUCAGCCAGCUCUGGUAGCCACUCAACAGAAAGUGUCUCUGAAGCGUACCUCUGAUCUGUGUACAGUGGAAAGAAUGCUGGCUUUGCAAUAAGACAACUUCGUUUUGAAUCCAGGACCUUGGGUAAGUCAGUUUGCCUCUUGUUUCCUCCUCUAUAAAAUAGGAGGGAGUGUUGAACUUAUUUGACCAUUUAGGUUUCUGUAAGCUCUAAUUCUUUAACCUAUAUACUCCUCUGAACUUUAAACAAACAACUAAUGCUUCAUACAUGUCAGAAAUUACAACCUUAGCUUCAGAGAAAUAGGUGCUAAUUUCUUUCAUAUACCUUCCAUAAUAGUGAGUUCAGGAGAGGAAAUACCAACUGGAUGAGUGCUUAGAAACUUAUGCUUAAUACUCUCCUUUGGUCUGCUCCAGGUCCCCUUCAGUGUUUUAGUUUGUAAUGCAAAAGAACUCUUCAGAAGUUGGAGUGUUUUUUUUUUAAAUGGUUGUAUUUAAUAGACCUCUGUGGUAUUUAUCUUUUGAGAGCUGGCAUUUCCUUUAAACAAAAAGGCAUUCUAGUCAUGAGGCUCAGCUGAUCCCUAGAGCCCUCACCCCACUGCUCAUAAUUGUUUGCCAUCAUUAAUGGUCCACCCUUGGCAAAGUGGAGACCUAACUUACAGGAAAAAGUUCCUCAUUACUAACAAGGACCAGAAUGUAGGAGCGGCCCUCUAAAGAAGAGAAAUUUGGAGACAUUUCUCCAAAGCCAAGAGGGAAGAGAAGAGAUAUAUUUAAAUAAGUCUCAUUCACUAAUACCAUCAAGGUACUGCCUUGAUGAUAAGGGGUC